rnacentral:rRNA from 1 species
UACAGAGGGUGCGAGCGUUUGUUCGGAAUUAUUGGGCGUAAAGCGCUUGUAGGCGGCUUGUUAAGUUCCGUGUGAAAUCCCCAGGCUUAACCUGGGAAGUGCGCGGAAAACUGGCGAGCUUGAGUGCCGGAGAGGGUCGCGGAAUUCCCGGUGUAGAGGUGAAAUUCGUAGAUAUCGGGAGGAACACCAGUGGCGAAGGCGGCCAUCUGGACCAGCACUGACACUGAGGCACGAAAGCGUGGGGAGCAAACAGG